rnacentral:rRNA from 1 species
UACGUAGGGUGCAAGCGUUAAUCGGAAUUACUGGGCGUAAAGCGUGCGUAGGCGGUGAUGUAAGACAGAGGUGAAAUCCCCGGGCUCAACCUGGGAACUGCCUUUGUGACUGCAUCGCUGGAGUACGGCAGAGGGGGAUGGAAUUCCGCGUGUAGCAGUGAAAUGCGUAGAUAUGCGGAGGAACACCGAUGGCGAAGGUAAUCCCCUGGGCCUGUACUGACGCUCAUGCACGAAAGCGUGGGGAGCAAACAGG